rnacentral:misc_RNA from 1 species
GAUGAAGAACGCAGUGAAAUGCGAUAAGUAGUGUGAAUUGCAGAAUUCAGUGAAUCAUCGAAUCUUUGAACGCACAUUGCACUCCUUGGUAUUCCGAGGAGUAUGCCUGUUUCAGUAUCAUGAGCACUCUCACAUCUAACCUUUGGGUUAAAAUGUGGAAUUGGGAUGCGCCGGUUAUUAUAACGGCCCUCCUAAAAUUCAGUUCUUGGCUGCUUCCUACUACAGCAGUUUGGCCUAAUAGUUUUGAGUCUUCGAUUCAAAUCUUUGGCUAACAUUUGCUUCAGGAUGUCAGUCUUGAUAUACAGAAAUCUCAUUCAAACUUUGAUCUGAAAUCAGGUAGGGCUACCCGCUGAACUUAAGCAUAUCAAUAAGCGGAGGA